rnacentral:rRNA from 1 species
AGAGUUUGAUCCUGGCUCAGGACGAACGCUGGCGGCGGGCUUAACACAUGCAAGUCGAAGGAGAAGGAUGGUGCUUGCACCAUCCGGAGACUGGCGCACGGGUGAGUAACGCGUAGACAACCUGCCUAUAACUGGGGGAUAACAUCGGGAAACCGGUGCUAAUACCGCAUAUUGUCAUUGCCUCGCAUGAGGCGGUGAUGAAAAACUUCGGUUGGUUAUAGAUGGGUCUGCGUGCCAUUAGUUAGUUGGUGGGGUAAAAGCCUACCAAGGCGAUGAUGGCUAGGGGGUCUGAGAGGAUGAUCCCCCACACUGGAACUGAGACACGGUCCAGACUCCUACGGGAGGCAGCAGUGAGGAAUCUUGCGCAAUGGAGGAAACUCUGACGCAGCCACGCCGCGUGCCGGAAGACGGCCCUAUGGGUUGUAAACGGCUUUUGAUUGGGAAGAACUGUUCCGUUUCGACGGGACUUGACGGUACCAUUUGAAUAAGCACCGGCUAACUCCGUGCCAGCAGCCGCGGUAAUACGGAGGGUGCAAGCGUUGUCCGGAAUCAUUGGGUGUAAAGGGUGCGUAGGCUGGCAUCUAAGUCUGGGGUGAAAUCUUGCCACUUAACGGUAAAAUUGCCCUGGAUACUGGAUGUCUUGAAUCUGACA